ensembl:lncRNA
GGACGCUGCUUUGAGCUGGCAAAGUUCUCCACACCACAAAUAUGAUUUCCAUAUCAAGCCAUGUGCCCUUUGUUCCGCUCAAGCGUCUCGGUGGUGGAAACGUCCAGUCUGCCUCAAGGACAACUUUCCGACGUCUGCAACGCUUACUCUGCCCAGGGUGAGAAGUGGAGGCUCGCGCCAUCAAGUGUUCUGACAAUGUUGAGGUCUCUCAGAGCCGCUUCAGAGCUGCUGUCAGUCAUGUGUCCCAGACAGAGUACUACACGCCCCCUCCUCUUAGCGAGCAGGCGACUGUUUUAGAGUGUCCUGACCCCAAGAUUGGAA